rnacentral:rRNA from 1 species
UAGGGAAUCUUCCACAAUGGACGCAAGUCUGAUGGAGCAACGCCGCGUGAGUGAAGAAGGUCUUCGGAUCGUAAAGCUCUGUUGUUGGUGAAGAAGGAUAGAGGCAGUAACUGGUCUUUAUUUGACGGUAAUCAACCAGAAAGUCACGGCUAACUACGUGCCAGCAGCCGCGGUAAUACGUAGGUGGCAAGCGUUGUCCGGAUUUAUUGGGCGUAAAGCGAGCGCAGGCGGAAUGAUAAGUCUGAUGUGAAAGCCCACGGCUCAACCGUGGAACUGCAUCGGAAACUGUCAUUCUUGAGUGCAGAAGAGGAGAGUGGAACUCCAUGUGUAGCGGUGGAAUGCGUAGAUAUAUGGAAGAACACCAGUGGCGAAGGCGGCUCUCUGGUCUGCAACUGACGCCGAGGCUCGAAAGCAUGGGUAGCGAACAGGAUUAGAUACCCUGGUAGUCCAUGCCGUAAACGAUGAGCGCUAGGUGUUGGGGACUUUCCGGUCCUCAGUGCCGCAGCAAACGCAUUAAGCGCUCCGCCUGGGGAGUACGACCGCAAGGUUGAAAC